CAGAGCAGGUGAAGCCGACUCUGUCCUGACCGUCUCAUCGCACCUGACUGAAGAGAUGUUACAAAACAAAAAGCAAAACCUUAUACCCCGAACAUCCGCUGUCAGCAGGCACGAGACUGUGAUUCAAGAUGAGCGGCCGAAGCAUCCCCUGCGUGUGUGAAGAAGAUCCAGCAAGAGGAGGAAGCAGGGUUCCUGAAAGCCAGGCUGACGACGAAAAAUCCUGUGCUGAGUUAACGUGGGUGUCUGAAUGGGCAGAAUCGGUGUAUGAACAGGCCGCCCCACCCCCACCCUGGCAGGGAUACACUGUGAGGUCAAAGCUGGACCCUGUGUCUGUCUUCAGGACACGAACCAAUUUAAAAAGAAAUCAUUCACUUAAAAAGACUUUUUAAAUCAGCUUCCACUGGUGCAGACUGACUGGUUAAUAUCAUGUCAACUUAACGUAUUCUGAAAAUAAGGGUUACUAACUUUCACAGACAACCAGUGGGCUCAGGGAGCCAUGAAGCUGUCUCGGGAAUGCAUACAAGACACAUAUAGAUGAAGCUGGACGCUUGUCAGACGUGUGAACUAAGUCCCUGUAACCAAGGGAGGAAGUGAUCACAUCACCUCAUUGGCUCUGCAGAUCUAAGUCAACUCAAAAAAGGCAAGCAUGGCCCAGAGAGGAGCCUUCACUAACCUUGAGUGGGAGAGAACCAGCCAGGGCCUCUGAGGCACAUGGAAAUACUUGUCUGAAGGAGUUGGCUCUUAGAAGUCACAGCACAGAUGCCUGAAGCAGAAGGAGAAGCACCUGUAGUGGCUGUCACCCUGCAGGCACCUCUGUUACUGGAGUCGCCAAGAGACAGUAUUACAGAAGCCUUGGAAGUGAGAGUGCUCCCC